rnacentral:misc_RNA from 1 species
CGCUGGAAUACGUUAUAAAACAUUAAAAAUAAGUACUAUUAACCAUUUGAAGAUAAGCAAUAUGUUUGACACAAAACAAUGAAGGUCCCAGAGGAACAUCCUAGUACUGUCAUGAAACAAUGAGAAAUAUAUAUAUAUAUAUUAGUAACAAUGUGCAGUGUUUGGGUGACCCAACGCAUGAAACAUCCCACACUUAGGUCACAAAUGGCGUAACUUUACCAUUGUACCAAAGCCACCCUCUACAAUAGGCAAUAUUUAUCAUGUUACAAAAAGAUAAAAGAUAAAGAAUGCGUUCAACUUUGAAAAUAAAUUCCCAAAUCCCACAAGUGUGGGAUGCUUCAUGUUCUAUCACCCUUUUUUAUAACAAAUUUAAAGCUAACACAAUAAAAGUCAAGGAAUUACAAAAUCAGAAGUUGAGAAAGAGGCUUGUGGUGGAAGCUUGAAAUUCAAAAGGGAGAAGCCAGUGAUGAUUUGGGUUUGGUCAUGAUAUGGCAGCAGUUUCAUUUGUUAAAUCAAACAAACUUGCAGAAAGUGGCAACAACCAACAAGAUUUCCAUCUCAGCUUGGACUAGGUGUGUUCUCCUCUUCUCUGUCUUUGUGGAGGAUUGGAGGCACAUGUGACAAAAAGAGAGGCUA